ACAGAAUAUGAAAUGACAGCAGGGCAGGCAAAUUACAAAUCCUUUGAUACUUGCUUCAGAGGUCUAGCAGGCAGAAGGAAGCUAAUUAACCCCUCAUUCAGUGAAGCACCAUGUCUGGAGAGAGGGAGCUUAUGUGGAGCAGCAUCCAUGGGUCAGCCAGGUGCAAUCCAGACGUAGGCUCACAGGACACUGCAGAGCCCUCUCCCCCUUCUGGACGUGCAGACAGCAGCAUCCCAAGAGCCUUCACCUCUCACAUCCCCUUUUUGGGAGGAUUGGCAGCAACCGAGAAAGGCAGGUCAGCAAAAAGCCUGAACGUGGGCUCAGCAUCCAUGGCCAUUUUGUGCUACAGAGCAGAGGCUGGUAAUGCCAGCACGGUCUCCCACCAUCCAGGAGUGAUUCUUCAAGGCAUCUCUUGUGCGUGUCUGCUGGGUGACCUCCACAUGGAGUGAGGACAGCCGCCUUCAAGUGAAACCUGAGUGAGGUAAUGAGCAGCAGGAGCUUCGCUAGAAGAGGAAUUGUGCUUGGAGGAUGAGAUCACACAAGCCCAGUAAUUAUGUACCUACCCUCUAAUUAGGACAUCAAGAUUUGCAUUUUGUGGCUUUGAAAACAUGUUUAAGAAGUGCUAAAAUAGUAGUUACUCCAAAGUUUAGGAUUGAUAAAGUGGUCUUGCUGGUGAAAUAUAUAUGUAUAUAUGGAAUAGAUUGUCUCUCAUUUAACCAUUUACAUGACCGAUGAAGAGAUCAGCUUUAGUUAAAAUACCAUAAAAUUUUCAUUUGGGUCUUUCUAUGUAUUGGCUUUAGAAGUUUUCCUUGUUGGUAAUAACUAUAACAAUAUUUGACUCACGCUGCAACUGAGGAAGAUGCUUAAAGAAAAAACUGAUGAGUCACUCUUUAAUGAAUGCUACUCCUUAAAGUUUUAUAAUUGAACUUGACUUCAUCAUUUUAAUUAUUCCUCCCUCUACAGAGUUAUAAUCGUUGUAAGGUAUACAUUGCUUAACAGUGUAAACAGUCUGCAUGAAUUCAAGGAAGUCUAUUUGUACUACUCAUGCAAUUCAUGACUACUGCCACGGACAUGAACAGAUACAGGCAAGAGUGACUUGCAAUAGCUCAGCCAAGCAGCAACGGGACUGGAAGUUUCACACUCCAAGCCCUUGUAAAGAGUUAUGGAAGUCAGUGAAUAAUACCACUGUACAGUUUUGAACAAGUGAAGGCUUGUUCUACAUCUAAAUGGAGAAUGCCAACAAAAAUAGUAACAGAUGAUGAAUUAAAGGGAUAGCUAGCAGAUAUUUGAGCAGAAUUUUGCAGGAAAUGUUAAAUAAAUGAAUGUCAAAUGAAUACUUCAAGCUCUGGAGACCCAUAAAACUACUACCACCGCCUUGCCCAGAAGGUGUCUGUCAUAUGUAGGCAAUUUCAAUAAAACCAAGAAAGUCUGAAAAUUUCAAUGUGUUUACUUCAGACAUAUGGUGAGGACAGAGAUAACUGGGUUUGGUUCUGAUGUAAAUGGGGCCAUCAGUGUUGAGAGCUCAUCAGUAACUGCACUUCAGCCCAGUGUUAUCAGGAGGGGGACAUACAAACAUACUGUGGCUAACAGCAGGCUCACAACUGACCAGCUACAAGUACUUACACAUAUCUCACCACGAAGAUGGGCUUUUUCUAUUCUAUUUCCAGAGUUUGGGAAAUGAACUGGUCUGAUACAUUGCAAUGCUACACUCUCUGCUCUGUUGGCUUCUGCAUGUGCUAAGUCUUUGCUAGUUAUUAUCCUGAGCACUUUCAUUUCUUUGAUGUGUUUGCAAAGGAAGGGCUACAUAAGUGCAGUGCAGCUCUUAAAACUACAGAGUCUGCCAUCCUGUAGCAUUAAGCUUAUCAGUAGGGCUGAAGGACAGUUUACUUUAAACAAUGUUCUGGACUUUUUCUUUUCAACCGAUGUUACUGUUUCACUCAUUCAAAAAGUAAGUGACACCUGCGUAAAAGCAAGUUGUUCAUGUCUGGUGAGCACCCAUCAUGCUGCAGGCUGUGGGUUUUUCACUGCUGAGUUAUUUUCAGCACAUUUACAGAGCAGUGGCAAGUGCAUGCUGCAUGCUGGCUUGUACAAGGCCUUUUGAAGGUUGCAUCCUGAAAAAAGUCAUGUUUUGUAAACUUAAUUUAUACUUUGGUUGCAAUUUCACAGCUCUGCUUGCAACACAAAUUCAAAGUCUGCAAUACAUACUUGCAAGCAGUGAACAGUAACUCUAAAUGCCAGUUAUAUGUUCCCUUAAAAGCCUUCUGAUUUUAAGAGCAAACUCAGGUGCUACCUUUUA